UACGUAGGCAGCAAGCGUUGUUCGGAGUUACUGGGCGUAAAGGGUGUGUAGGCGGUCUUCUAAGUUUGGUGUGAAAUCUCCCGGCUCAACUGGGAGGGUGCGCCGAAAACUGGGAGGCUAGAGUGCGGGAUGGGAGAGUGGAAUUCCUGGUGUAGCGGUGAAAUGCGUAGAUAUCAGGAGGAACACCUGUGGUGUAGACGGCUCUCUGGACCGCAACUGACACUGAGACACGAAAGCGUGGGUAGCAAACAGG
rnacentral:rRNA from 1 species